CUUUCAAGUGACAAUCAAGUUG
rnacentral:miRNA from 8 species